AGAGAUGCAUUGGGUUUAAAGGGUGCGCAGGCGGUUUUGUAAGACAGAGGUGAAAUCCCCGGGCUCAACCUGGGAACUGCCUUUGUGACUGCAAGGCUGGAGUGCGACAGAGGGGGAUGGAAUUCCGCGUGUAGCAGUGAAAUGCGUAGAUAUGCGGAGGAACACCGAUGGCGAAGGCAAUCCCCUGGGCCUGCACUGACGCUCAUGCACGAAAGCGUGGGGAGCAAACA
rnacentral:rRNA from 1 species